GGGUGAGUAAUAUAUCGGAACGUACCAUUCAGUGGGGGAUAACGUAGCGAAAGUUACGCUAAUACCGCAUAUUCUGUGAGCAGGAAAGCAGGGGAUCGCAAGACCUUGCGCUGAUUGAGCGGCCGAUAUCAGAUUAGCUAGUUGGUGAGGUAAAAGCUCACCAAGGCGACGAUCUGUAGCGGGUCUGAGAGGAUGAUCCGCCACACUGGAACUGAGACACGGUCCAGACUCCUACGGGAGGCAGCAGUGGGGAAUUUUGGACAAUGGGGGCAACCCUGAUCCAGCCAUGCCGCGUGAGUGAAGAAGGCCUUCGGGUUGUAAAGCUCUUUCAGCCGGGAAGAAAACGUAUGGGUUAAUACCCUGUGCGGAUGACGGUACCGGAAUAAGAAGCACCGGCUAACUACGUGCCAGCAGCCGCGGUAAUACGUAGGGUGCGAGCGUUAAUCGGAAUUACUGGGCGUAAAGCGUGCGCAGGCGGUUUUGUAAGAUAGGCGUGAAAUCCCCGGGCUUAACCCGGGAACUGCGUUUAUGACUGCAAGGCUAGAGUACGGCAGAGGGGGGUGGAAUUCCACGUGUAGCAGUGAAAUGCGUAGAGAUGUGGAGGAACACCAAUGGCGAAGGCAGCCCCCUGGGUCGAUACUGACGCUCAUGCACGAAAGCGUGGGUAGCAAACAGGAUUAGAUACCCUGGUAGUCCACGCCCUAAACGAUGUCAACUAGGUGUUGGGAGGGUAAAACCUUUUAGUACCGGAGCUAACGCGUGAAGUUGACCGCCUGGGGAGUACGGCCGCAAGGUUAAAACUCAAAGGAAUUGACGGGGACCCGCACAAGCGGUGGAUGAUGUGGAUUAAUUCGAUGCAACGCGAAAAACCUUACCUACCCUUGACAUGCCAAGAACUUUCCAGAGAUGGAUUGGUGCCCGAAAGGGAACUUGGACACAGGUGCUGCAUGGCUGUCGUCAGCUCGUGUCGUGAGAUGUUGGGUUAAGUCCCGCAACGAGCGCAACCCUUGUCGUUAAUUGCCAUCAUUUAGUUGGGCACUUUAGCGAGACUGCCGGUGACAAACCGGAGGAAGGUGGGGAUGACGUCAAGUCCUCAUGGCCCUUAUGGGUAGGGCUUCACACGUCAUACAAUGGUCGGUACAAAGGGUCGCCAAGCCGCGAGGUGGAGCCAAUCCCAGAAAGCCGAUCGUAGUCCGGAUUGCAGGCUGCAACUCGCCUGCAUGAAGUCGGAAUCGCUAGUAAUCGUGGAUCAGAAUGUCACGUGAAUACGUUCCCGGGUCUUGUACACACCGCCCGUCACACCAUGGGAGCGGGUUCCGCCAGAAGUAGGUAGCCUAACCGCAAGGGGGGCGCUUACCACGGCGGGGUUCGUGACUGGGGUGAAGUCGUAACUAGGUA
rnacentral:rRNA from 1 species